CAGCCGCCGCGGUAAUACCGGCGGCCCGAGUGGCGGUCACUCUUAUUGGGCUUAAAGCGUCCGUAGCCGGGUUGGGAAGUCCUCCGGGAAAUCUGGCCGCUUAACGGUCAGAAUGCCGGAGGAUACUCCCAGCCUAGGGAGCGGGAGAGGCCGAGGGGAUUCCCGGAGUAGGGGGGAAAUCCUAUAAUCCCGGGAGGACCACCUGUGGCGAAGGCGCUCGGCUGGAACGCGUCCGACGGUGAGGGACGAAGGCCAGGGGAGCAAACCGGAUUAGAUACCCGGGUAGUCCUGGCGGUAAACGAUGCGGACUUUGUGUCGGACAAGCUAUGAGCUUGUCCGGUGCCGGAGGGAAACCGUUAAGUCCGCCGCCUGGGGAGUACGGCCGCAAGGCUGAAACUUAAAGGAAUUGGCGGG
rnacentral:rRNA from 1 species